AUAGCGUAUAUUAAAGUUGUUGCAGUUAAAAAGCUCGUAGUUGAACUUCAGACCUGGCUAAGCGGUCAGCUUAUCGGCUUGCACUGUCUGGCUGGGCCUUACUUCUUGGUGAGCCGGUGUGCCCUUUAUUGGGUGCGUUGGUGAACCAGGACUUUUACCUUGAGAAAAUUAGAGUGUUCAAAGCAGGCCUAUGCCCGAAUACAUUAGCAUGGAAUAAUAAAACAGGACGUGUGGUUCUAUUUUGUUGGUUUCUAGAGUCGCCGUAAUGAUUAAUAGGGAUAGUUGGGGGCAUUGGUAUUGAGUCGCUAGAGGUGAAAUUCUUGGAUUGACUCAAGACCAACUACUG
rnacentral:rRNA from 1 species